rnacentral:rRNA from 1 species
AUUGAACGCUGGCGGCAUGCCUUACACAUGCAAGUCGAACGGCAGCACGGGUGCUUGCACCUGGUGGCGAGUGGCGAACGGGUGAGUAAUACAUCGGAACGUACCUUAUCGUGGGGGAUAACGCAGCGAAAGCUGUGCUAAUACCGCAUACGCCCUGAGGGGGAAAGCGGGGGAUCGCAAGACCUCGCGCGACUAGAGCGGCCGAUGCCUGAUUAGCUUGUUGGUGGGGUAAAAGCCCACCAAGGCGACGAUCAGUAGCUGGGCUGAGAGGACGAUCAGCCACACUGGGACUGAGACACGGCCCAGACUCCUACGGGAGGCAGCAGUGGGGAAUUUUGGACAAUGGGGGCAACCCUGAUCCAGCAAUGCCGCGUGAGUGAAGAAGGCCUUCGGGUUGUAAAGCUCUUUUGUCAGGGAAGAAACACCGGCUCUAACACAGUCCGGGAAUGACGGUACCUGAAGAAUAAGCACCGGCUAACUACGUGCCAGCAGCCGCGGUAA